UUCUUUUCUACUUGCAAUCUCUGGGACCAUCUUCACUGCCAUCUCCUGCUUCUGGAGCCAGCUUUUUUUUGUGGUUAGUUCCUUAUUAUCGAUCAACCAUGAGCUCCCAGAUUCAUCAAAACUAUUCCAGCGAUGUGGAGGCAGCUGUCAACCGCCUGGUUGAUUUGCAUCUGCGGGCCUCCUGCACCUACCUCUCUCUGGGCUACUAUUUCGACCGCGACGAUGUGGCUCUGAAAGGCGUGGGCCACUUCUUCCGCGAGUUGGUGGAGGAGAAGCGCGAGGGCUCUGAGUGUCUCUUGAAGAUGCAAACCCAGCAUGGCAGCCGCGCUCUCUCCCUGGACGUGCAGAAGCCAUCUCAAGAUGAAUGGGGUUCAACCCUGGAUGCAAUGGAAGCUGCCUUGGCCCUGGAGAAGAGCCUGAACCAGGCUCUUUUGGAUCUUCCUGCCCCGGGUUCUGCCCGCACAGACCCUCAUCUCUGUGACUUCCUGGAGAGUCACUUCCUAGAUGAGGAAGUGAAACUUCUCAAGAAGAUGGGCGACCACCUGACCAACCUCCACAGGCUGGCCGGACCCCAGGCUGGGCUGGGCGAGUAUCUCUUCGAAAGGCUCACUCUCAAGCACGACUAAAAGCCUACGGAGACCAGUGACCUCUGAGGAGCCCUUUUCAAACUACCAAGGGCUUCUGCCAGAGCCUCUUCCUCCAGCCACAAGGCAGCUUUUUAAACACCUUGCAAUCUUCUCCCAAGCCUUGGACCAAAUGGAAAUAAAGCUUUUGUGUAUCU